GUGACCCAAUUUUUUUUAUAUUGUUCAUAUAAGCUGUACAUAAACUAAAUAAUUGUAAAAUUUAAGCGAUUUCUGUAAUUAGGUUAUUUUUUUAUUUCGAUAUUACCUCUAUUUCUCCUAUUAGUUCAACAGAAAAAAAGGACAUUAACAAAAAUGUAUGCUUCUUCCGGAGGCAGAUUGUGAGCUUAAAUGAACGGUGACCCCAUUUUUUUUUUCAUUUUCUUUUAAGUUAUGAUAAAGUUCAUUUAUAAAAAAAUAAAGCGAAAUCCUAUAUUAGAAAAAAAAAAUUAAUUUAUACCCAGGAGCCCCCUUAAA
rnacentral:lncRNA from 1 species